rnacentral:rRNA from 1 species
AGCGGCGGAUGGGUGAGUAACACGUGGGGAACCUGCCCCUAAGUCUGGGAUACCAUUUGGAAACAGGUGCUAAUACCGGAUAAUAAAGCAGAUCGCAUGAUCAGCUUUUGAAAGGCGGCGUAAGCUGUCGCUAAGGGAUGGCCCCGCGGUGCAUUAGCUAGUUGGUAAGGUAACGGCUUACCAAGGCGACGAUGCAUAGCCGAGUUGAGAGACUGAUCGGCCACAUUGGGACUGAGACACGGUCCAAACUCCUACGGGAGGCAGCAGUAGGGAAUCUUCCACAAUGGACGCAAGUCUGAUGGAGCAACGCCGCGUGAGUGAAGAAGGUUUUCGGAUCGUAAAGCUCUGUUGUUGGUGAAGAAGGAUAGAGGUAGUAACUGGCCUUUAUUUGACGGUAAUCAACCAGAAAGUCACGGCUAACUACGUGCCAGCAGCCGCGGUAAUACGUAGGUGGCAAGCGUUGUCCGGAUUUAUCGGGCGUAAAGCGAGCGCAGGCGGAAAAAUAAGUCUAAUGUGAAAGCCCUCGGCUUAACCGAGGAACUGCAUCGGAAACUGUUUUUCUUGAGUGCAGAAGAGGAGAGUGGAACUCCAUGUGUAGCGGUGGAAUGCGUAGAUAUAUGGAAGAACACCAGUGGCGAAGGCGGCUCUCUGGUCUGCAACUGACGCUGAGGCUCGAAAGCAUGGGUAGCGAACAGGAUUAGAUACCCUGGUAGUCCAUGCCGUAAACGAUGAGUGCUAAGUGU